rnacentral:rRNA from 1 species
GAGCACCGUAAUUGCUGGGCAUAGCCGUCUUAGAAUGAAGCCCAUUCAGUGUGUAUUAGUGGCGAACGGGUGAGUAACACGUGGGCAAUCUGCCCUUCACUCUGGGACAAGCCCUGGAAACGGGGUCUAAUACCGGAUACGACCCGGGAAGGCAUCUUCUCGGGUGGAAAGCUCCGGCGGUGAAGGAUGAGCCCGCGGCCUAUCAGCUUGUUGGUGGGGUAACGGCCCACCAAGGCGACGACGGGUAGCCGGCCUGAGAGGGCGACCGGCCACACUGGGACUGAGACACGGCCCAGACUCCUACGGGAGGCAGCAGUGGGGAAUAUUGCACAAUGGGCGCAAGCCUGAUGCAGCGACGCCGCGUGAGGGAUGACGGCCUUCGGGUUGUAAACCUCUUUCAGCAGGGAAGAAGCGCAAGUGACGGUACCUGCAGAAGAAGCGCCGGCUAACUACGUGCCAGCAGCCGCGGUAAUACGUAGGGCGCAAGCGUUGUCCGGAAUUAUUGGGCGUAAAGAGCUCGUAGGCGGCUUGUCACGUCGGGUGUGAAAGCCCGGGGCUUAACCCCGGGUCUGCAUCCGAUACGGGCAGGCUAGAGUGUGGUAGGGGAGAUCGGAAUUCCUGGUGUAGCGGUGAAAUGCGCAGAUAUCAGGAGGAACACCGGUGGCGAAGGCGGAUCUCUGGGCCAUUACUGACGCUGAGGAGCGAAAGCGUGGGGAGCGAAACAGGAUUAGAUACCCUGGUAGUCCACGCCGUAAACGUUGGGAACUAGGUGUUGGCGACAUUCCACGUCGUCGGUGCCGCAGCUAACGCAUUAAGUUCCCCGCCUGGGGAGUACGGCCGCAAGGCUAAAACUCAAAGGAAUUGACGGGGGGCCCGCACAAGCAGCGGAGCAUGUGGCUUAAUUCGACGCAACGCGAAGACCCUUACCAAGGCUUUGACAUAUACCGGAAAGCAUCAGAGAUGGUGCCCCCACUUGUGGUCGGUAUACGGUUGGGUG